UACAGAGACUGCAAGCGUUAUUCGGAUUCACUGGGCGUAAAGGGUGUGUAGGCGGACUGUUAAGUCAGUGGUGAGAUCCCGGGGCUCAACCCCGGAACUGCCAUUGAUACUAUCAGUCUUGAAUACUGUGGAGGUGAGCGGAAUGUGUCAUGUAGCGGUGAAAUGCUUAGAGAUGACACAGAACACCGAUUGCGAAGGCAGCUCACUACGCAGUGAUUGACGCUGAGGCACGAAAGCGUGGGGAUCAAACAGG
rnacentral:rRNA from 1 species